AAACCACAUCCCUCAGCUAGAGAAGCCCCAGACAGCACAGUUCCUCACCAUGGACUGGAUUUGGAGGAUCCUCUUCUUGGUGGGAGCAGCGACAGGUGCCCACUCCCAGGUGCAGCUGGUGCAGUCUGGGCCUGAGGUGAAGAAGCCUGGGGCCUCAGUGAAGGUCUCCUGCAAGGCUUCUGGAUACACCUUUACUAGCUCAGCUAUGCAGUGGGUGCGACAGGCUCCUGGACAAGGCCUUGAGUGGAUGGGAUGGAUCAUCGUUGGCAAUGGUAACACAAACUACGCACAGAAGUUCCAGGGCAGAGUCACCAUUACCAGGGACACGUCCACAAGCACAGCUUACAUGGAGCUGAGCAGCCUGAGAUCCGAGGACACGGCCGUGUAUUACUGUGCGACAGACACAGUGUGAAAACCCACAUCCUGAGAGUGUCAGAAACCCCAGGAAGGAGGCAGCUGUGCUGGCGUGGAGGAGAUGACAAAGAUUAUUAGAUUGAAGAUUUUCUUAUUAAAGGACACUAAGUCAUUAAAGAAAAGGAACAACAUAAAUGUGUAUUUGAGAAAUUUCAGUUUUUGGAGAGAUUUUUCAUACAUUUAUUCUGUAAGCUAUUUCAGGGAUUGGAAUAUGAAUCAAAUUAAUAAAGCUGAUAUGGACUUCC